rnacentral:ncRNA from 2 species
AUAACUGCAUGUCUCCGAGCUCUUUUGCCUAAGGUUUACUACGGUAAAUUUGCCGAUAGGGUUAUACUGGAAACGGUAUAGCCUCCCCAUUGGAAAGGAGAUACGGAUGUAAGUAA